CCUACGGGUGGCUGCAGUGGGGAAUAUUGGGCAAUGGAGGAAACUCUGACCCAGCAACGCCGCGUGAAUGAUGAAGGUCUUCUGAUUGUAAAGUUCUUUUCUAAGGGAACAAAAACGUGACGGUCCCUUCGGACUAAGCCUCGGCUACCUACGUGCCAGCAGCCGCGGUAAUACGUAGGAGGCGGGCGUUAUCCGGAAUGACUGGGCGUACAGGGUGCGUAGGUGGUUUGGCAAGUUAGUAGCGUAACUCCAAGGCUCAACCUUGGAACUACUACUAAAACUGUUGGACUUGAGUGCAGGAGGGGCAACCGGAAUGCCUAGUGUAGCGGUGGAAUGCGUAGAUAUUAGGAGGAACACCAGUGGCGAAGGCGGGUUGCUAGACUGUAACUGACACUGAGGCACGAAAGCGUGGGGAGCAAACAGGAUUAGAUACCCCGGUAGUC
rnacentral:rRNA from 1 species